rnacentral:rRNA from 1 species
ACAUGCAACAUCUGCGGCUGCGAGGAGGAGGAUGAAUUUCAUGCGGUUAUUGAAUGCACUAAGAGCAGAGCCCUAAGAACCGCCAUGAGGAAGGAUUGGGACAUCCCACAUGAAAUAUGGUUUCGGCGCAUGGGACCUGACUGGCUUCAGCUGCUACUUGCGUCCAUCCCCGAGGAAUCACGAGUGCGAGUAAUCAUGCUCUUCUGGAGGUGUUGGCAUCUGCGCGAUAACUGUAUUCAUGGAGACGGAAAGAGCCCAUCAUGCAGUCUGUUCUCUUUCUCUUGCGAUACGAGGAGGACCUGCUAUAAGCUGGCCAAGAUCAACCAUCGUUUUUAG